rnacentral:lncRNA from 1 species
AUCCAGGCCUCAGGUGACUCUCCCAUCUCGUGAAAACAAGCAGGAAGCCCACGUUAUUAUUUUCUUCUUUACUCAAAACAUCGAGAAAAAAGAAAUCCUUCUUUUCCCUUUUUAGUCUUGAACCACAUUCACAUCCCUGCCUCCCUUGGAGACUUUUCUUCAGCUGCAAUUUACAAAUGUGAAAAGCUCCCCUCCAACCCCGAUCCGAGACAGACUUUAUUUAGGAAUAAGAAGGAAGGAGGGCCCUGCUGUGUCCUCCUUUUGUCUCGGUCUUCUUUCCUCUCACUCGGGUGACACAGAAAGAGAAGGAAAAUUACGCAUCAUCGAGGAAGGCCCUGAAUGUAAGACAAAACAAACAUACUACAACCAAAACUGGGGUCAGAGGCUUGCUUUCCAAAUUGGGUCUUGGGGGUGGGUGGAAAUCGAGGGAGCUGCUCUACUGAAAUUUGCUCUGGCUUCUGGGAGCCACGUAUCCUGUCUAACAUCCCUGCCCCCCGCCACUCCCCACCACCAGACAAAAGAAUUUCUCUUGUAGAAAAACAAGAUCAUAAGACCAUAAUUGUUUGAUUUUUUUGUUGUUGUUUUCCCUAAGUAAAACAUGGUAAGUGUAUGUGAAUGUAUUUGGGGAAAGGGAGAUUUGGCUGGAGGGUGCAGGAGUCUGGAGGUGUAUGCUAAUUGCAUGUUCUCUAUUAAAUCCUCCAGGUCCCUAAAGCUCCCUCCUCCCUGGCAGAACAUCACAGAGGUCUCAGAGGCUGCUUUGAGGCUUUUGCAGAGGCUGGAAGACAACCCUUUGGAGUUCAGCACACAGGGCCUCUCCCAUCAUUCAUGCUCAUUCUUGGAACAGAGGAGGACUGCAGAUGGCAUUUCGUGGUUUUAAGGAUACUUUGGGGAACCAUUUGGAAAAUAAAUUAAGCAUCGCAAUGGGAAAAAUCACUCCAGAAUCAAUUCGGAUUUGGACCUUCCUAGAAUGGACUUCUGAAAGGAGGACCUGAAGAUUCUUUCUAAGAGGACAAAGCUGCUGUUUGUGAAGAGAGAAAACUUUAGGAAACUUCCAGGGGAGCCAGGUAGGAAGCAAGUCAUGGCUUCUGGGCCCGGGGAGGAGAAAGCAGACUGAGUCAUUGUCCUCCAGGAAGAUGUAAACCUGCACACACUGAUCCCUGCAUGUAGGGAUGGAGAGCAAUGUUAACGGCCAACUUAGCGACUGUUAGCACACCUUCUGUGAAUUAACCCAUUUAAUACCCACAGCAACCUAUAAGACAGGCCUGGGGUCAUGGUACAAAGGGAGACCCUUACCCCUUUUUCAUCCUUACUCUGUCUCUAUCACGAGGGGGCAGACACUCAAUGCAUGGACUGUCUAGUCACAAGUUGAAGCUCAGUCCAGAAACCUGUCACAAUCAGGAGCCCCUUGGACACCUUGCAGGCCUAGGAGUGUCAUGGCACUGUCUGCCCUGCGAAGGACAGGCCAGGGAAGAAACCGUGUGGGCCCUACAAGGCCAUGGGUUAGAGGCUACUUAGGCCAGAAAUUCCCAAGUUCCUCACACCUACAACGUGGUGUGGCAGCGGGUAUGGAGGAUGCCAGUGAAAUGUGCCCCCAGUCCCCAGAGAAGGGUGUGGCUGGAGGAGGCCAGAACAAAGCUCUCCAGAACAUGGCCUAGGCUGCCCUGAUCUAAGGCAGUACAGCUUGUUAUCAUUAGCUCCAUUCUCACAGAUGAAGAAACCAAGGCCCCAGAAGGUCAAAUAACUUGUGCAAGGUGAGGGAGCUACGAGGAGGCAGAGGUAGGAUUUGAAUGCAGGCGGUCUGACUGACUCUUACAGAUGGCUCCCCCUGCCUCCCCAAACCUCAAGGCUCACGAUAAGUGUGUGUGUUUUAUUAAUUUUGGGGGUUACAUAGUAGGUGUAGAUAUUUAUGGGGUACGUGAGAUAUUUUGAUACAGGCUUUUAAUGCAUAAUAAUCACAUCGAGGUAAGUGGAGUAUCCAUCACCUCAAGUAUUUGUCCUUUCUUUGCAUUAAAAACAAU